ensembl:lncRNA
UGGUGAAAAAGCAGACCAGUGAGGGCAAUGGGAAGGGGGAGAGCAAUUUUAAGAAAAGGCAAAUCCAGACGUGGAGCCCAAAUUUGGUUUGGGAGAAGCCAGGAAGAUCAGACUUCAGAUGUCACCACAAGACCAAAAAGUAUCUCACAGUGUAUCCACAGGUCUCUGCUAAAGGCUAUGAUCUUGUCCGGCACGUCUCGGGAGGAGUUAAGCAGUCAUGGGAGUGAUGCUUCAAUUAUCAAGGACUCGGUUUAAAUCCUGAAACUUCUAGAUCCAGGGAUAUUUUCAGAGCUCCCUGCAACUCCCUUCCUUUGUACGGAAACCAGCACACCAGAAGAUGGGAUGCAGAGCAGAACUGGGAGCUGGGAGGCACUCCUACAUCUUGCAGGAUGGAAAUUAAAUAUUAACAUACAUCUCCUACUACCUGCCUGGAAUUCACACAGUUACAGCAUUU